UUCCAGACUCCUACGGGAGGCAGCAGUGAGGAAUAUUGGUCAAUGGGCGCGAGCCUGAACCAGCCAAGUCGCGUGAGGGAGGACGGCCCUACGGGUUGUAAACCUCUUUUGCCGGGGAGCAACGGGCGUCACGUGUGGCGCCACUGAGAGUACCCGGAGAAAAAGCAUCGGCUAACUCCGUGCCAGCAGCCGCGGUAAUACGGAGGAUGCGAGCGUUAUCCGGAUUUAUUGGGUUUAAAGGGUGCGUAGGCGGAAUAUCAAGUCAGCGGUAAAAAUUCGGGGCUCAACCCCGUCGUGCCGUUGAAACUGAUGUUCUUGAGUGGGCGAGAAGUAUGCGGAAUGCGUGGUGUAGCGGUGAAAUGCAUAGAUAUCACGCAGAACUCCGAUUGCGAAGGCAGCAUACCGGCGCCCAACUGACGCUGAAGCACGGAAGCGUGGGUAUCGAACAGGAUUAGAUACCCCGGUAUA
rnacentral:rRNA from 1 species